AUUUUAUGAUAUAAAGUUUGAUUUUGGUUUUGGAUGUAUUAAGAUAGUAUUACCUAGUUUUGGUUUAUUUAGUGUUUAAUUUUAUUUACUGGUAGUUUUUUUAUUGUUUUAUUGAUGUUCCAGAAUAAUCGGCUAUACGUUUUAAUUUUUUACUCUAUUUUUUGUUAUGUUGGAAUUUUUUGUAAAAAUUUUUGUGUUUAUAUUUUGUAAAAUAUUGUAGAUUUUUUUAUUUUAGUUCUAAUGUUUAAGAUUUUUUUUUAAUAUGAACUGGAUUAGUACCCAGGUAAUUAAAAUUUAUUAAUGCGGGAGUAAAGUUAGGUUUAAACCGAAAAAAUAUUGACUGACUCUAAAUUUUUCUUUGGAACAUGUUUUGGAGAGUCCUCCUUAGAUUGAUUUUUUUUUGGUGUAUGUAUGAUUGUUUAGUUUUUAUUAUAUUUUUAAUGCUUUGAAUUUUUUCUUAAAAAAACAGAUAUAUACUUAGUUUAUAAAGUUGUUUUUAUGUGUUACUAUUUUUAAUUUAUUCGGAUUUUUUAAUUUUUGUUGGUUUAUGAAGUUGGAAAAGAGAGUAAUUUUUUUUUUAUGUGUGGAUGAAUUUAAUAAUUGGGGUGGUACAAACCAUCCGUCAAUGGCCCAUAGGGGCGUAAGUUGUAGUAUGGUAGGGGUAAGGAAACUUGUUCCUAAGUCUUAAAGAU
rnacentral:ncRNA from 1 species